rnacentral:tRNA from 1 species
GAAUGGAUGGUCCAGUGCUUAGGACACUAGUCUGAGGAGCUGGAGGUUCUAUUCC